AAUAGUUUGGGUUGGAAGGGACCGGCAAAGGUCAUCUUGUCCAACCCCCAAUAAACACUGUCAGAGUGUUUGAAAAAGAACCUGUGAUUUACAGGAGAAUAUGUAGCAAAUUCCGAGGCCUGGCAGCUUACCAUUGUUGGAUUUAUCUCUGUUGGUGUCUGCUUAUCUCAGCGGCCAUUCUAUGUCUCCAGGCCUUUCAUCUCAGCGUUACUAUUCUGGCAGCCCCAUCCCAUAGGUUUCCAGAGCUCUGUGGUAUCUCUUUAUUUGGAAUUUCCUUGUUUGUUGAGGGGCGAGUUUUCGUUGCCGACCAUCCUGCUAAUGCAGCAGUUGUACUGGGCAAAUGACAAAGGCAAAGAACAGGCAGAUGAAAGCCAACUGCUGUUACCCAUAUGAUUUAAAGUUGCUUUUCCUUUAUAUAAACAACAUGCCUGAGGUUGCUCUUUCAGCUUGCUUUAUCCCACCCAUGAAUCUCUGGAUUUACAUGUCAGUCUGUGUUCUGCACUAUGUCUUUUGUGUGUGAUUCAUUACAUUUUAGCAUCAUAGGGAAUCUCUAGCGUGCAACACGCACAAGUCGGAGAUACCGUUAUCAAACCGCUGUCCUGCAGGGCACGUUGUCAGGAAUAUGCCCUGAGAGGAAGCUUUGGCUUCCCUAAGAUGCUUUUAGAAUUCCUGUGUGGCAAAAUCUCUCCAGCAUGCCCUGAGAGAGCAGUUAUCAGAUGAUUUUUCAAAGCCGGGGUUUCUUCUUUGUGCGCUUUUUAUUUUGGGAGUAAGCAGUGCAAAGUCGUGCUCAGGGCUAUGAAAAUGGGGAGGUGUCAGCCUUAUCGGUCCCUUUGGAGUGACAUGUAUUUAAAAUGGCACAUCGGGAUAAUGGUUAUGAGAUUCAUGACCUUGUUUGCAAGGGUGUCCUGAACCAACAGUCAGCAGUGCCUCACGCACAGUUGCAAAUUUUGAUUGUAAAGCUUUAUCAAAACAGUACAAAAUCUUCCAUACCAGCGACAAACCUCACCCGACUCACUGAGGAGUCUCAUUUGAAUUCAGGUUAUUUCUGAAGUUGGAUAGUCUGUUAUCUUGUUCAAAAUUAGUGUGACCACGACAGGAACUUGAAUGAAGUGGAGAACAGUGGUACUGGGGAAAUCCAGAGUAUGGUGGUAUUUAUGUUCGUGCU